CCUACGGGAGGCAGCAGUGAGGAAUAUUGGUCAAUGGGCGGAAGCCUGAACCAGCCAAGUAGCGUGCAGGAUGACGGCCCUACGGGUUGUAAACUGCUUUUAUACGGGAAUAACGCGCCUUACGUGUAGGGCUUUGCAUGUACCUUAUGAAUAAGGACCGGCUAAUUCCGUGCCAGCAGCCGCGGUAAUACGGAAGGUCCGGGCGUUAUCCGGAUUUAUUGGGUUUAAAGGGAGCGUAGGCCGGAUGUCAAGUCUGUUGUGAAAUUUCCGGGCUCAACCCGGGCCUUGCAGCGCGUACUGGCGUGCUUGAGUACGCGAAAAGCAGGCGGAAUUCGUGGUGUAGCGGUGAAAUGCUUAGAUAUGACGAAGAACCCCGAUUGCGAAGGCAGCUUGCUGCAGCGGAACUGACGCUGAUGCUCGAAAGCGCGGGUAUCGAACAGGAUUAGAUACCCGAGUAGUC
rnacentral:rRNA from 1 species